rnacentral:misc_RNA from 1 species
AAAAUACUUGCCAAAUCUAAUCUCUGAUCUGUGAUAGAAAAAUCAAAUCUAUUUCAAAUUAGUGAGAGAUUAGCAAUGAAAGGAAAGAACAAGAGUCAAUUAUAAAAUAAGAAAUUUAAUCAAGAUUUUGAAAUCACCAUGUUUUCUUAGUGAUACUUUCAUUGCAUGCUUAUAACAUAAAUACUUGUGAACAACAACAAUU